rnacentral:tRNA from 3 species
GGUCGGGUGGCCGAGAGGCGAGGCUCGGGACUGCAAAUCCCGCUACACGGGUUCAAAUCCCGUCCCGACCUCCA